UCUCCAUGUAAGUUCAUUUAUACAAAUGCUUUUAUUAUUAUAAUAUAUAUAUUUAUAUAAUUACAUUUUCUACAAAACAAAUCAAGUUGUCAGUGUACUAUAAAUUGAGUACCACAUACAUUUGCCACAGUACACCCCAUUGGUAACACACAGAACACACCCACUGCGGUGCACAGACGCAUCGCAGGACAAACUCCACAGCCAAUGGAGCACAAACAGCUGUAAGACAGAUGAAGAGGCCACAGGUGCGCUCCAAUUUGACAGGCACGCUCAGUGUGAAAUCAGGUCAGGGUUGCAAAACAAGCUACCCAGAGGACUUGCACUGACAGAAACGCUUUCAUUCUCUUACGUUCAAACCCACAUCACAACACACCCAUCAACAGUCCCGGCAAUCUGUCAAACUGACACGUCUGCUACCGCCUCAGAAAAAAAGACGCCCUGAAGGACUCUCAAAUCUCCACGUCAGGUUUCUCGACAGAAACAAAAAGUAGAAUCUCCGCAGCUUGAGAGAUGGACUGACAGGACAUUGCCAUCCUUUUCAUCUCUCCCUGAGAGAACCCCCCCCCAUCCCAAGUGGUCACGGUUUAUUUCAUAUUAAAACUGCCAGCUGCCCCCCCCCCCCCUCCCAAAUAAAAAUAUUUAAAAAGUUAUUUUAAAAAUAGGAAUGGAUGUGGUUUCUUGCCCAUCUGGUACCCUCUGAAAAAGCACCCAUUGCCCAGGUCAUCAUUUGAGACUAAAUCUAGAUUCUUCAUAUCAAACAGGCUUCAGAAGGCUAGCCUGACAAUCUACACGUUUUCUGUAAGUUACCCUAUCAAUUUCCAGGACGUAGCACCCAGGUUUUAAAGCAAAAUCAUGCAUACCAUCUACAACGAACUAAGUAAACCAUGCAAAGCUAUUUGAAUCUUUGCAGUAUUUCCUGUUACAGCUGUUUUGUGUCAGUUAUGACAGUGUGAACCAACCCCAGUCUCAGUUUACCAGCAUUACACACGUUGUGGCUAAACCACUUUCUAGUGGGAAACGCUGAGGACUAGACACUAGUUGAAAACACACCCACCCACCCACACCCUGGCCUCAGUUACAGGCCCACAUAUGUCCCUGUACAGGCUGAUAAGGCAGAUAUUCUAACAAAAAAGUCCAAAUAAAGAUGAAUGAUUAGGAGCUUUGGCUUGAUUUAAAGCUUUGAUUCUGAGAAUAUCAAACACUGAGCUAACCUGCGUGGCUAGCUUGGCAAAUAAGACGGCUGCUGAACAGAUUUUAAAUUCAAUAAUUAUUGGCAUGUAAAGCACAUAAUCAACAAGGUAGGUACAAUAAACUUUAAAAAAUAUAUCAAAUAUUGUACAAUAAAGCACAAAUUGUAAAUGGUAUAAAUAACUGUAACCAACAAUCUGCUAUUUCCAUUCCAUCAUUUGUCAGCAUCAGUCGUACAAACUCACAUACAUCCAACCAAUCGAUUCCAUUCUUUUGUGUAAGCACACAACCCUGUCUCUUUGGCUAUUGCAUCAUGCUUAGAACAGGCUAUGAUAUGUUUUAAGUAGGUAACCUGGAAACAGCUAGCCUAAAAGCAGAGCACUGCAUAGUUCCAAGACGUCAAACACUUAGGAGCUGUGUCCAGAUACAGUAUCAACAGUACUUCAAAGGCCUGAAUGCCUGACUGGAG
ensembl:lncRNA